rnacentral:rRNA from 1 species
UUUAUUGAGAGUUUGAUCCUGGCUCAGGAUGAACGCUGGCGGCGUGCUUAACACAUGCAAGUCGAACGGAGGACCC